rnacentral:rRNA from 1 species
UACGAAGGGGGCUAGCGUUGCUCGGAAUCACUGGGCGUAAAGCGCACGUAGGCGGAUUGCUAAGUCAGGGGUGAAAUCCUGGAGCUCAACUCCAGAACUGCCUUUGAUACUGGCGAUCUCGAGUCCGGGAGAGGUGAGUGGAACUGCGAGUGUAGAGGUGAAAUUCGUAGAUAUUCGCAAGAACACCAGUGGCGAAGGCGGCUACCUGGCCCAAUACUGACACUCAGGUGCGACAGCGUGGGGAGCAAACAGG